AGAGCGAACGCUGGCGGCGUGCUUAACACAUGCAAGUCGAACGCGUAGCAUUCUGUAGCAAUACAGGGUGUGGGCGCGUGGCGAACGGGUGCGUAACACGUGGAUAACCUUCCUUCAGGUGGGGAAUAACCCAGUGAAAAUUGGGCUAAUACCGCAUAACAAAACGAUGAGACAUCUUGUUGUUUUCAAAGGCGCAAGUCGCCAGAAGAGGGAUCCGCGGCCGAUUAGCUUGUUGGCGAGGUAAUGGCUCACCAAGGCAAUGAUCGGUA
rnacentral:rRNA from 1 species